AAGUGGGUAGCUUAGUACGGUUAAAGCAGUAAUUUAACACAUUAAAAAUCGGGAGUUCGAAUCCCCCCCUACUUA
rfam:Grifola frondosa strain 9006-11 000073F, whole genome shotgun sequence.